rnacentral:rRNA from 1 species
CAGCUCGUGUCGUGAGAUGUUGGGUUAAGUCCCGCAACGAGCGCAACCCUUGCCUUUAGUUGCCAGCAGUUCGGCUGGGCACUCUAAAGGGACUGCCGGUGUUAAACCGGAGAAGUGGGGAUGACGUCAAGUCCUCAUGGCCUUUAUGACCAGGGCUACACACGUACUACAAUGGCCGAUACAAAGGGCAGCGACACUGCGAGGUGAAGCCAAUCCCGUAAAAUCGGUCUCAGUCCGGAUUGGAGUCUGCAACUCGACUCCAUGAAGUUGGAAUCGCUAGUAAUCGUGGAUCAGCAUGCCACGGUGAAUACGUUCCCGGGCCUU